AUUUUUGCUCUAAUAAAACUUCCAAUAAAGAUGGCGGCUACUUCUAUAUGAAAGGGGAUGGUGCUAUGCUCACAUACACUAGAAUCUGGAUGAAAGGAGUAGAGAAUGUCUACGUACGAAGCUAUCCAACUAAUGAUAGAUUUUGCGAUUUUUGUAAUUGCACUUU
rnacentral:sRNA from 1 species